UUUUGGGACAGCUGGCGCAUAGCACAGCAACGGUCGAAAAUUUGAGUAUCAAAUUCCUCAGGGCUAUCAUGUUCCUCACAGUGUAGGCAAUCCGCACUGGCGAAUUCCUAACUCCUCAGUCAGAACAAAUUCCUCAGAGACCAGAAGAACUUCGUCUCUGUCACUGAAGAAUAUGACUGAACUGUAUGAGAUUUCCAAUGGCUUCACUCGAAGGGAUUGGUAGGUGUAGGAUUUUGAGUUGAGCAUCACAUGGAAAUUUGUCCUUAGUAUUUCCUCGACCCCCUUUAACAGUACGGUGUUUCCUAUGACUCAAGAAAGAGAAAAUGAAACUACGAAAACAAAAGUCUUCACGCUUCAUGUUCCUCGAAUGAAUACCAAGUCUUCAAGGUCACACCAAUUUCUUCACUUUCAAAGUCUUCAGAAAGUCUUCAGAAGUCCAAAGUCUUCAGUCGAAGAACUUCAUUUUUAGGGGUCGACUUUCUCUGUAAAUAUCAAACUCCUCAUAGACUUAUAGACCUGUGUACACUCAUAAACACAUUAGACCCUUAACCUAUAAGUCUUCAAUACACCAAAAUCACUAAGGGACACUAGAUGCACUUACAAAAUGCGAUAUUUUGGAUAGUAAAGCACUAGUGCAACAACACGAAAACUAUAUAGGCAUAGCAUGGGCAUAACUUUUUAUGACAAAAAACAACACAAGGGUCAAUACGGUUACAGUUAACAAAAAUCAUGCAAGAGAAGAAAAUUGAAGACCUGAACAACAAGUCGUCUUUAUAUAUGAAAAACAGAAAAUUGUAAAUCUACAAUUAACAAUUAACAAUGAUACAAUGAAAAUUAAAGGGCCAAUACAUGAUGUAGAAAGCAGCUCUGGGAGAAAAAAUUGUCACAAACAAAAACAUUAUAUGACGUGCAAGGUAUUUUUUUUGGAAUUAACCGAUGCGGCAGUUAGCUUUUGUAGCGCAACAUAGGUGGAAAAAAAGACUACUGCUAGUAGAAUAUACUAAAAUGGGAAGGGAGAAUACACUACCUACACCUAACUAUCAUAGAUGACAUGAACAAAAAUUUAUCAGAGAUGGGUAUAAAAAAUUAUGACGAGUCACUUUCUCAUACUAUCAUGGAGCGCAUGAACAAAAAAAGUGAACAAAUUCAAUAUAUAGGUUAACAAAUAGGUAUCAAUCCCAUGUUUGUCAUAUGAAAUGAUGCAGCAAGGAACACACAGUUUGGCAGGUCAGUAAGGCAAAUGUGAUGCAGUUCUUAGCCAAAUAUGUGAUGCAGUUCUUAGCCAUACUUCUGCAAAAAAAUGCAUAUAAUCCUUUGUCCCACAAAAAUAAAUGUAAGAUGAGUUGUAGAAAAAUAACUUUCAACCCCAGUAGGUUACUAAAAACAGGAGAAGUAGGUAAAAAUCAAAGCAAUGCGGCCUACAAAACACACCGCGUUACAAACUACAACAGAAAAAAAACCUACAACUAGAAAAACACAAACCGGGGAUCACACUACCUACACCUAAGAAACUCACAGAGGGGAGAAUUGACCUACACCCUUUAAAUCAAGUCUACUAAAGACACACGACAACAUGACAUACAUGUUCUUGUAUAUUCUACUAACUCCAACUUAAGAAAACUUAAAGAAUCAACUUAAGAAUACACUGCUCCAUGGAUAAGAAGGGAUAGAGGGCGUUUCCAAUGAUUUAGAAUAAAAGCCUUCAAUAACGGGUUUCCAAAUGGGUCUAACCAUGCAUCUGUUUGAGACCUCGUGAUUUUCCAAUAAACACUAUGCCACCCCUAUCCCGCACCCCUCCCAAGAACACAAACCAAUCCAGCCGGUCGAUGGGUCUGAUCUAACGAAAUACAAUCAAGGAGAUAGAGGAUCUAAAAAAGCCUAAUAAAAGCAGGACGGGCAUAGCGCAGAGGGAGCUAAUCUACUUGAAAUCUAGGUUAUACCUCAAAUCAGGAAAACCUAAAAAAAUAGGGGUGCGGAGGGGGGGGAGGACAAAAAACUCACUUUAUCGCCAUUCCCAGCCAUCUCUUCACCUCGCGGGAGUGAACAAUCCUCGGUCGACUCCUUCAUGCUCACCUUGACUCCUUCCUACUCGCGGCGGCCCUAAAAGAAGACAAAAGGGGAAUGGGGAGAGGAGGAACAGAGAGAGGUGGCCGAGGAAUGUAAGUGAUAAAAGAGGCAGCGAAC
rnacentral:lncRNA from 1 species